rnacentral:lncRNA from 1 species
UCUAUGGGGCUCUAUGGGGUCUCUAUGGGGGUCUGUGGGGCUCCAUGUGGUCUCUAUGGGGUCUCUAUGGGGGCUACAGGGUCUCUAUGAGGCUCUAUGGGGCUCUAUGGGGUACCUAUGGGGCUCUAUGGGAUCUCUAUGGCAGUCUGUGGGGAUCUAUGUGGUCUCUAUGAGGCUCUAUGGGUCUCUAUAGGGUCUCUAUGGGGCUCUAUGAGGUGUCUAUGGAGCUCUGUGGGGUACCUAUGGGGCUCUGUGAGGUACACCCUGCAUGUGGGGCACUUCGUGGACGGCGGAGCCGGUGGGGGGCUCAGGAAGAAGGGGG